CCCCAGAACCAAAACAGUUUAUGGUGCUCAUGGAGAUUUGAAGAACCCAUAAACUCUUUGCAACAGCAUCUUGACAUUCUAUUGGCAACCGGAUUACGGACUCUGUGGAAAGAGAGGAACAACAGAUGCUUUCAAUAUCAUGCAUUCCUACCAAAACCCGUAGUCAUUCAAAUUGCAAGGCUCUACACUCUUUGGACCAAAC
rnacentral:lncRNA from 1 species